AUUGAACGCUGGCGGCAGGCCUAACACAUGCAAGUCGAGCGGCAGCGGGACCUUCGGGUUGCCGGCGAGCGGCGGACGGGUGAGUAAUGCCUAGGAAUCUGCCUGUUAGUGGGGGAUAACCAGGGGAAACCCUGACUAAUACCGCAUGAUCUCUUCGGAGCAAAGAGGGGGACCGCAAGGCCUAUUGCUCCAGGAUGAGCCUUGGUUUGAGUAGCUAGAUGGGAGGGUAAAGGCCUACCAAGGCGACGAUCAGUAACUGGGCUGAGUGGAUGAGCAGUCACACCGGAACUGAGACACGCGCCGGACUCCGACGGGAGGCAGCAGUGGGGAAUCUUUGACAAUGGGCGCAAGCCUGAUCCAGCAAUGCCGCGUGGGGGAGGACAGCCUUCGGGUUGUAAACCGCUUUCAGUUGGGACGAGGCUUCGCCGGUGAAUAGCCGGCUGGAGUGACGGUACCUUCACAAGAAGCCCCGGCUAACUACGUGCCAGCAGCCGCGGUAAGAC
rnacentral:rRNA from 1 species